GACGAACGCUGGCGGCGUGCUUAACACAUGCAAGUCGAGCGGUAAGGCCCUUUCGGGGGUACACGAGCGGCGAACGGGUGAGUAACACGUGGGUGACCUGCCCUCAGCUCUGGGAUAAGCCUGGGGAAAACCGGGUCUAAUACUGGAUAUGACUCCAUGACGCAUGUUGUGGGGUGGAAAGCCUUGUGCGGCUGAGGAUGGGCCCGCGGCCUAUCAGCUUGUUGGUGGGGUGAUGGCCUACCAAGGCGACGACGGGUAGCCGGCCUGAGAGGGCGACCGGCCACACUGGGACUGAGACACGGCCCAGACUCCUACGGGAGGCAGCAGUGGGGGAAUCUUGCGCAAUGGGCGAAAGCCUGACGCAGCGACGCCGCGUGAGGGAUGACGGCCU
rnacentral:rRNA from 1 species